UUGAAGAGUUUGAUCAUGGCUCAGAUUGAACGCUGGCGGCAGGCCUAACACAUGCAAGUCGAACGGUAGCACAGAGAGCUUGCUCUCGGGUGACGAGUGGCGGACGGGUGAGUAAUGUCUGGGAAACUGCCCGAUGGAGGGGGAUAACUACUGGAAACGGUAGCUAAUACCGCAUAACGUCGCAAGACCAAAGUGGGGGACCUUCGGGCCUCACACCAUCGGAUGUGCCCAGAUGGGAUUAGCUAGUAGGUGGGGUAACGGCUCACCUAGGCGACGAUCCCUAGCUGGUCUGAGAGGAUGACCAGCCACACUGGAACUGAGACACGGUCCAGACUCCUACGGGAGGCAGCAGUGGGGAAUAUUGCACAAUGGGCGCAAGCCUGAUGCAGCCAUGCCGCGUGUAUGAAGAAGGCCUUCGGGUUGUAAAGUACUUUCAGCGAGGAGGAAGGCAUUAAGGUUAAUAACCUUAGUGAUUGACGUUACUCGCAGAAGAAGCACCGGCUAACUCCGUGCCAGCAGCCGCGGUAAUACGGAGGGUGCAAGCGUUAAUCGGAAUUACUGGGCGUAAAGCGCACGCAGGCGGUUUGUUAAGUCAGAUGUGAAAUCCCCGGGCUCAACCUGGGAACUGCAUUUGAAACUGGCAAGCUUGAGUCUCGUAGAGGGGGUAGAAUUCCAGGUGUAGCGGUGAAAUGCGUAGAGAUCUGGAGGAAUACCGGUGGCGAAGGCGGCCCCCUGGACGAAGACUGACGCUCAGGUGCGAAAGCGUGGGGAGCAAACAGGAUUAGAUACCCUGGUAGUCCACGCCGUAAACGAUGUCUAUUUGGAGGUUGUUCCCUUGAGGAGUGGCUUCCGGAGCUAACGCGUUAAAUAGACCGCCUGGGGAGUACGGCCGCAAGGUUAAAACUCAAAUGAAUUGACGGGGGCCCGCACAAGCGGUGGAGCAUGUGGUUUAAUUCGAUGCAACGCGAAGAACCUUACCUACUCUUGACAUCCAGAGAACUUAGCAGAGAUGCUUUGGUGCCUUCGGGAACUCUGAGACAGGUGCUGCAUGGCUGUCGUCAGCUCGUGUUGUGAAAUGUUGGGUUAAGUCCCGCAACGAGCGCAACCCUUAUCCUUUGUUGCCAGCGGUCCGGCCGGGAACUCAAAGGAGACUGCCAGUGAUAAACUGGAGGAAGGUGGGGAUGACGUCAAGUCAUCAUGGCCCUUACGAGUAGGGCUACACACGUGCUACAAUGGCAUAUACAAAGAGAAGCGACCUCGCGAGAGCAAGCGGACCUCAUAAAGUAUGUCGUAGUCCGGAUUGGAGUCUGCAACUCGACUCCAUGAAGUCGGAAUCGCUAGUAAUCGUAGAUCAGAAUGCUACGGUGAAUACGUUCCCGGGCCUUGUACACACCGCCCGUCACACCAUGGGAGUGGGUUGCAAAAGAAGUAGGUAGCUUAACCUUCGGGAGGGCGCUUACCACUUUGUGAUUCAUGACUGGGGUGAAGUCGUAACAAGGUAACCGUAGGGGAACCUGCGGUUGGAUCACCUCCUU
rnacentral:rRNA from 1 species